CAGAUGCAUCACGCGGGAUGCGACGUCGGCCCAUGAAGUUCCAGAGGUUCUUCGUGGAUCCGGGCUGCGGGCCCAGCAGGUGAUUGAAGAGCUUGUCCAUGCCCCAGCUCUCGAACUCGAGGGCCUUCAGCAACCGAGAUAAUGAUAUGUCUCGGAUAGUCCGCUGCUUCCAGACGAGCCACCUGCUUACUAAGGCCUUCAUCUAGCAGAUAAACUCUGCCUGCUUGAAGUCGAAGAUGACUGGCACGCCCAACUCACUCGGCAUCAGCACAGUCACGUCUUUAGUCAAGUAAAAGUACUUCUUGCGGACUUCGGCGCCCAACAACUUCUGAACGGCCUCCUCUGGUUUACCUGAAGGAGCGUAGUACAGUGGGAAGUAACAUGCCGAUGCAUCACGCGGGAUGCGACGACGGCCCAUGAAGUUCCAAAGGUUCUUCGUGGAUCCGGGCUGUGGACCCAGGUGGUCAUUCAAGGUCUUGUCCAUGCCCCAGCUCUCGAACUCAAGGGUAGCUGUCGUGCGAGCGGAUCAGCACAGAAGACGUCAUGCCACCGUAGUCGUACUUGGCUGCAUCGAAGAAUGGAACCAUUGCAGCCCCGAGCUUUCUGACCUGUACGCGACUAAAUCGUAACAAAGAUAGACUUCUGCCUGGCGGUUAUUUGUUCCCCAUUUGGGGACCAUGCUCGAGAAUCUCUCCGUUUUCUCUAUACUGCCUCUGCUGUCAGCCUACCUCUUUGACGUGGUACUCUUUCUCGUCGGGGUGUUCGUGACGUCCCUUGACGAGGUCAAGUUGGAAGAGGGACAGCACGCCCU